CCUGGGUGGAUCAGUUGGGCAAGUGUCCUAUUCUUGAUCUCAGCUCAGGUCUUGAUCUCAGGGUUGUGAGUUCGAGCCCUGCACUGGGCUCCACACUAAGUGUAGAGCUUACUUAAAAAAAUAAAAAUUAAAAAAAAAAAAGAGGUUUUUGUAUCCACUUUACCCUACUUGGCUGUCGUGAAUACCACCUCCCUUUCUCAAUCUAGAAUUAAGGAUGGUUAGGAAAGCAAAAAGAAUGGAAGAAAGUGCUUUAGACUCUGUGAGCAAAAUAAUGAGUUGCACUUAGGGUAACUGCUGGUCAGUCUUACCCUUUCAACUUUUUAACAUCUCACCGUAAAGCUGAGUCUAAAAGGAAACUUCUCUUCAACUCAUCAGAUAGGGGCAAGACCUGUUUGUAUUUGCCACCUCUCUCAACCCUACAUUCACUGAGGGAAAAACUUUUGGUUUGUACCACCAGACUUGAGUCAGGUUAGAGGCAGAAAGGAAGAAGAAAUGGGACACUGUUGAAGAGGGUUGGGGAGAGGAAUAUCGAGAGACUGUGAAAAAAGGAAAGAAAUCACAGAGGAGGCCUCCUUUAUGCCUCUCUGAGGUGGGCUCAGUAUGGAUGAAUAGGAGACAGAAGGAGGAACUAAUGGGCUGUUUCCACGAUUCCCAGGAUUUGGUGCACGACCGUCUAAUGAUAAGACCCUUCUAGUGACAGACUUCCUGCCUAGCUUGGGUUGUAAUAUCUUAUAAAAUACUUCCAGAUAUAAUGAGGUAUCCACGGAGACUGCAGGAGGAAUAGCUGAAUGCAUAAGCAACGCCAUAAGAAGUCUGAUGGGAGGCACAGCCUGCAGUAAAUGAAGUGAAGCAAUAUCCUUACCACACAGCAGUAUCAUAGCUGCUGCCCUACUUGAUGAGCCCUAUUCCACCCUCCCACACCCGAUCCUCAUUCUGGCAUGACAUCAGCUCUGCUUCCAGCCCCAAGUAUCAUCUUCUGCCCACCUGUUCCUGCAGCUCUAUGUGAACUUUGGUUUCAAGUUAGCAUCUCAACAUCCAUUUGGCAAAGACUUUUGGAAGGGGCUGUUAUGUACCACCCUGGAUCUAGCAUCAGGGAUCAAAUGAUUGUUUUCACGCAUAUUGUAAAAUUGAGAGCAAGAAGGAAAAUCAUAACAAAGAGAAUGUUCAAAGGAAUUAAUAUUAAUUAAGCACCCACCAUGUGCCAAGCACCAUGCUCGGUACUUUCCUCGCAAGAAUCCUACAGAUUUGAUAUUGGAAACUCCAUUUGACUGAUAAUGAACCUGAGUUUGAAAGAAAUUAAGUGACACUUUUUUGGUUUUAUUUUCAUCAGAGAACUUAUGAAUAUAUGAAAUACAUUUUUCUGUUUGUGGGCUUGCUUUGCUGCCUAUUUGCCUUACUCUAAGGCGAGUACAACCUGAGAUUGGAUCCUGCUAUUUUCUUCAAUAUUUCAUGCCCAGUUCCAAAAACAUUGCCUGGCAAAUAUACUAGGUAACAAAAAUAUUUCUUGAAUGUGUGACUCAAUUGUUUAAUCAAUGAGUGAGUAAAUAAAAAUUGCACGGAGCUAACUUUGAUCCUGGCAUUUCUGUGCAUAUGUCCACACUCGAUCUGCUUUGACCGUGAAGUUAACUAAUCAGAAGCUGCCCACACCACAUAACUAGGCUGGAUGAGACACACACACAAGUGCCAUCUGCUCUUCCCAUCUCCUACCACUGGUUAUGCGACAAGUACCCUGUCUCCUCCAUUCUUCCAGAAAUGCUCCUUCUUGUAGGUUUGAAACACUAG
rnacentral:lncRNA from 1 species